GAGUUGAUACUCAGUAAUAAAUCUACUCUGUGUUUUGAGAUGUGUAAUGAGUUGAUACUCAGUAAUAGAUCUACUCUGUGUUAUGAGAUGUGUUAUGAGUUGAUACUCAGUAAUAUAUCUACUCUGUGUUAUGAGUUGAUACUCAGUAAUAGAUCUACUCUGUGUUAUGAGAUGUGCUAUGAGUUGAUAGUCAGUAAUAGAUCUACUCUGUGUUAUGAGUUGAUACUCAGUAAUAGAUCUACUCUGUGUUAUGAGUUGAUACUCAGUAAUAGAUCUACUCUGUGUUUUGAGAUGUGUUAUGAGUUGAUACUCAGUAAUAGAUCUACUCUGUGUUAUGAGUUGAUACUCAGUAAUAGAUCUACUCUGUGUUUGAGAUGUGUUAUGAGUUGAUAGUCAGUAAUAGAUCUACUCUGUGUUAUGAGAUGUGUUAUGAGUUGAUACUCAGUAAUAUAUCUACUCUGUGUUUUGAGAUGUGUAAUGAGUUGAUAGUCAGUAAUAGAUCUACUCUGUGUUAUGAGAUGUGUUGUGAGUUGAUACUCAGUAAUAUAUCUACUCUGUGUUAUGAGUUGAUACUCAGUAAUAGAUCUACUCUGUGUUAUGAGAUGUGCUAUGAGUUGAUAGUCAGUAAUAGAUCUACUCUGUGUUAUGAGUUGAUACUCAGUAAUAUAUCUACUCUGUGUUUUGAGAUGUGUAAUGAGUUGAUAGUCAGUAAUAGAUCUACUCUGUGUUAUGAGAUGUGUUGUGAGUUGAUACUCAGUAAUAAAUCUACUCUGUGUUUUGAGAUGUGUAAUGAGUUGAUACUCAGUAAUAGAUCUACUCUGUGUUAUGAGAUGUGUUAUGAGUUGAUACUCAGUAAUAUAUCUACUCUGUGUUAUGAGUUGAUACUCAGUAAUAGAUCUACUCUGUGUUAUGAGAUGUGCUAUGAGUUGAUAGUCAGUAAUAGAUCUACUCUGUGUUAUGAGUUGAUACUCAGUAAUAGAUCUACUCUGUGUUAUGAGUUGAUACUCAGUAAUAGAUCUACUCUGUGUUAUGAGUUGAUACUCAGUAAUAGAUCUACUCUGUGUUUUGAGAUGUGUUAUGAGUUGAUACUCAGUAAUAGAUCUACUCUGUGUUAUGAGUUGAUACUCAGUAAUAGAUCUACUCUGUGUUUGAGAUGUGUUAUGAGUUGAUACUCAGUAAUAGAUCUACUCUGUGUUAUGAGUUGAUACUCAGUAAUAUAUCUACUCUGUGUUAUGAGUUGAUACUCAGUAAUAUAUCUACUCUGUGUUAUGAGUUGAUACUCAGUAAUAGAUCUACUCUGUGUUAUGAGUUGAUACUCAGUAAUAUAUCUACUCUGUGUUAUGAGUUGAUACUCAGUAAUAUAUCUACUCUGUGUUAUGAGUUGAUACUCAGUAAUAGAUCUACUCUGUGUUAUGAGUUGAUACUCAGUAAUAGAUCUACUCUGUGUUUUGAGAUGUGUUAUGAGUUGAUACUCAGUAAUAUAUCUACUCUGUGUUAUGAGUUGAUACUCAGUAAUAGAUCUACUCUGUGUUAUGAGUUGAUACUCAGUAAUAUAUCUACUCUGUGUUUUGAGAUGUGCUAUGAGUUGAUACUCAGUAAUAUAUCUACUCUGUGUUUGAGAUGUGUUAUGAGUUGAUAGUCAGUAAUAUAUCUACU
ensembl:lncRNA